CACGAAAUCUCUGAAACUAUAACAGCUACAAAUUUGAAAAUUGGCAAGUAGGUUCCUUAUAGGGCAUAUACAUUUGCUAAGAACGAAUUUUAUGAAACUCGACCCCUAAGGUGAUAAAACGGGGGUUAGAAGUUUGUAUGAAAGUCCUAUGUUUUUGGAGGAAAAGACUUGAAAUUUAAAAUGUAUGCUCUAUAGAUGGUGAGAAGGUGUUCAAAUAAUGUAUCUUUAGAAAUCAACUCCCUUUUGGGGUUAAAACGGGGGAUGGUAGGUUGACUUACUCAUCACGAAAUCUCUGAAACUAUAACAGCUACAAAUUUGAAAAUUGGCAAGUAGGUUUCUUAUAGGGCAUAUACAUUUGCUAAGAACGAAUUUUAUGAAACUCGACCCCUAAGGUGAUAAAACGGGGGUUAGAAGUUUGUAUGAAAGUCCUAUGCUUUUGAAGUAAGAGACUUGAAAUUUAAAAUGUAUGCUCUAUAGAUGUUGAGAAGGUGUUCAAAUAAUGUAUCUUUAGAAAUCAACUCCCUUUUGGGGUUAAAAUGGGGUAUGGUAGGUUGACUCACUCAUCACG
rnacentral:misc_RNA from 1 species